GGCGUAAUAUCCCAAUUGGCAGAGGAAGCAGGUUCAAACCCUGUUCAGUGUGGGUUCGACUCCCACUUACGCUA
rnacentral:tRNA from 2 species